UCCCCAUUUUUUUCUUUGAAUCCUCAACACCCAGGAUAAUGCCUUGUUUUAACUGAAUUUAAAGGAUGUUCAAGAAAGAUAUAAUGGAAAGAUACUGGGUGUGGAUUCAGAAAACCUGGGCUAAAUCCCAACUUAGUUUCUGUAUGACCUUAGAGAAAUAAUUUCUCCUUUCUCAGACUCAGUUUCUUAGCUCCAAACUUAAGGGACUAAACUAAAUGUCUCCAAAGUUUCUCCCAGAUUUAAAUCCAUGAUCCUAUGAUCUCCUUCCUACCAGUCAGAUAAUAGAGGCUCCCUUAAGACCUUGUCAAUAAUUUGUGCAGUACAAUGGGGCAGGAUCCUGGACUGGACAUCCAGAGAUCUGUGUCAUGUUCUAUCUCUGCCACAAACUGAUGCUGGAUAAUCCUGGUCAAGUUACUUGCCCUCUUCUAAAUUCAUGUUCCUUAUCUGUAAAAUAGGGAUAAUGCUAUCUAUCCCAGAGAGUGUUUAUGAGCAUUUGAUAAGGUACUGGAUGGGAAAGUGUUUUCAAAAUGAUUAGUUCUAUGCAAGUAUAAAAUAAUAUUGUUGUCUAAAUCUAGGUUUUCCUAAAAUGAAAGGCAGUGUGGUAUAGGGAAGAGUUCUAUACUAGAAAAUUGAAGACCUGGGAUUGAUUCCAAGCUCUGACAUUUAUUAACUGGGAAAGUCACUUAAAUCUUCUGUGCCUCCUUUACCUUACAUAAAAUGGACAUAAUUAUAAGUCGCUAUCUCCUUAGCUUUGAAAAACAAUUCACAAGUAUUAUAUCUCAUUUGCUCCUCACAACAGCCCUGGGGUUGGGGGGUAAGAAGCUAGUAUUAUUCCAGAAGAGCUUCCUUUGUAUCCCCAGCAGUCACCACAAUGUUUCAGCUGUUUAGUCAUGUCUGAUUCUUUAGGGUUUUCUUUGUAAAAUGGUUUACCAUUCCUUUUUCCAGCUCAUUUUUACAAAUGAGGAAAGUAAGGCAAAGUGGGAUUAAGUGACUUGCCCAGAGUCGCACAGCAAGUGUCUGAACAUCAGUCUUCCUGAUUCCAGGUUCCCCACUCUACAGCUAUACCUACUUGCCCUGAUUGACUGAUUUGACCAAGGUCAAGAAUCAACAGUCUAUAUUUGAUGAAAGAUUUAAAUUCACAUCUUCUUGACUCCAAGUCUAUAAUGUUGUACUCCACCUCACAAAUAUUGGGGAGAAGUGAAGACAGCACUGAUUUUGAAAUUAGAAAAUCUAGUUUUAAAUCACAACUCAGCCAUUUGCUACCUGAGUAAUCUUGGACAAAUCUCUUAAUCUCUGAUGCUAGCUACCUCAUUUAUAAAGUGAGGGGAGUUUAUGGAUGAUACCUAAGUCCCUUCUGGUUCUGAAUGUCUGAUACCACUUUAUAUAAUCAUGGAGAAAGGAGGAUCUGAACAGCUUAAGAUGGUAUAGAAACAUCAACUAAUAUUACUUGGGGGAUAUGGUAUGGUCAAUUCCUUUUGAUGAAGGACAUUAGGAGUUUGCUCUAACAACACUCUAUGGAUACCCAGUAUCACAUAAUCUUGCCAUUAUUAUCUCCUUGGCCAGAUAUCUGCACACUGGCUAGAGCAUGACAUCUCCCAUUUCCAAAAUGCUUUGGAGAAAUCAUUCCCUAUUUUCAUGGGACGAGCUUGGAAUCCAUUCCUCACAAUCUCCUGCCUACGUGGGAGCUAUAAAAUGCUUGCAGACUCUCCACUAUGACUCCUCUGGGGAUAUGGCAGCAAGGGCAACCCACGGGAUGGGUGUGUGCUAGGAUAUAAAGUUGAUUUUCUAGGAAAGCAGCUCAAUGACACAUCACAACAGCUCCACUCUCUCUCUCUCUCUUUUUGCCUCCACACUGUGAAAUAAAUGCAUCUCUUAAGUACCUUUUAAACCAUCCAGCAAAUGAGUUUCUACAUUCUGGGAAUGACAAUUAAGGGUGAAAAUUGUUGGAAGUCAGUUAACAUAGAUGAUCCUUGAAGACAGCUCUUCCAAAUAAUCUCCAAGUUUUGACAGUCUGAAGUCCAAGGCAAAUUGGAGUCAGUCUUGACCAGGCACAGUGAUAACCAAUAUAAGCUCAGUGGCCAUCCCCAUAGGUUACAAUAUUUGUGCCCUUUUUGCAAGACUGUUUUUAUUGUGCUUUGUUAUAAGAGAGAAAUAUGACAAAGCCAGUUAUGGGAUUUGAGAUUCAAAAAAUCUCAGAAUAAGAAACCAUCUGAGUUAAUUUGUAUCUGACUAACAGUUCCCUGCAGAACACCCCCAACUAGGGACAUUUUCUUAAAGUAAUGGAUUAUUCACUGCCUACCAAGGCAACCCACUCCUAAUUUGGGUAGCUCUUAUUAUUAGAAAGUAUUGGGAAAGCUGGAUGCUACAGGGGUUAGAGCACCAAACCUAGAAUUCAAAUCUGGCCUCAAACAUGUGACACUUAAUCGCUAUGUGAUCUUGUGUGAGUCACUUAACUCUGAUUGUCUCAGAAAAAAAAGUCUCUGAAAUCUCCACCCAUUGAUCCUACUUCUGCUCUCAAUGACUGUACUUGAGUACAGUUAUCUUGAGCUUCCAAAGUAAAAAAAAUUUCAGAAUCUCAGCAUUGAAAGGAACUUGAGAGUUAACUUGUAGCCUAGGUACAUCUGCAAGAAGAGAGCUCUGGGAUAAUAAGGAUGGAUUGAAAGAACUGCUAAACAUUUUCAUCAAGUGACCCAUCUCUGUCUCGUCUCACUCAGCAGGGAUCUGCAGUGAGAACAUGAGAAUCACCAAAUUUCAGGGUUGGAAGGGUCCUCAGGCCAUCCAGAUGAAUUUGAGGAUGACCAAGAAUCUUCUCUCCAGCAUCCCUAGCAAGUGGUCAUUCAGCAGUGCUUAAAGACUGAAGAUGAAGGGGAACUCACUGUCCCUACAGUAGCCUAUUCCCUUUUAUUCAGAAGUUUUUUCUCCAUAUCAAUCCUAAAUUCACUUCUCUUCUAUGACAAAAGGGUCUUUUCUUAAUCAGGUAAAGUAUCUCUGAUCUUUUGCUAUUUCAACACAAUCUAAGAAUUCUGAAGACUUGGUUAUGUAAAUGCAGAAAGAUUUAUUUUUACCCAGUUUCUUGUGAACAAAGGAUAAAGUACCCUUUCAGAAACAGCACCAAGCCUUUGGGAUAUGCAGAUGGCCCAGGAGAAUUAUACAUGCAAUCCCUUUACUUUUGCCCUCCAUAGAAGGGAAGGGAAUUAUGGGUGAUGUGGUAGAGUAGAGACAGUUUUCGAUUUGGAGUCAGAGGAACUGUCUGAUUUGUUGUUUAUUCCAUGUGUUGUUAAAUAAGUCACUGAAUUUCAGUUUCUUCAUCUGUAAAAUCAAGUGAAUCAACAAGAUUAUCAAUCUUAGAGUCCCUUCUAACUCCACAUCUGUGAUUCUAUGAUCUUAAAUGUCUUCUAUCUCUAAAUCUGUGUCCUUUGAAUUAAUUUUUAGGAACAUCAUUGUUCAUUUUUUUUGGAAGUCCUCAGAUGGGCCUUUCUAUAUCAAGUUCACUUCCUCCUUUCAAAGAUCAUAUUAGAAAUACAGUAUCUAUUUAUCCCUAUCCCUCAAGCAGAGAUGAAACUUAGAACUUUUGUACCUGAGACAAGUACCCAAGCCACCAGCUCCUCAGUGGACAGGAAAGACAGAGACUACCCUUCCAGGGGAAUGCCAGAGACCUGGGAACUCUGGUGCCCAUGGCUGGAAACACCUAGGUACCAUAAGACUGUUGGUGGGGAGAUGUCUAUCCCACUAGGAUUUGGGCAAAGUAGUUUUUUGGUCUAAGUUUGCAGGUUCUUCCUUCAUACAACGGGAAUCGGGCCAUCUGGUACCUCCCUGUUUUAUUUCAGAAUCAUAGUAACUAUGUGCCAGUAGUUCUUGUUUCUUCACACUAGAAAUCCAAGGAGAUUACUGGGUGGGUGGAGCUAGCUUCUUUGUAGCCAAAAAUUUGGGGGGAGGGAAAAGAAAAAGUGGUUGAAAUCACUCCCCACAAUUCCCCCUCCUCAAAAUACCACAGUAGAGCUAUAAGGAACCUUAGGGCAAAGGCUAGCCAUAGCGCCAUUUUAAGCUCAUCACUAUUCCCCUUGGUAAGAAAGUUUGAGAAGCUGGAGAUGGCAAAUGCUUUAAAGGAAAAAAUAGUUCAAAGGAUGGGGGAAGCAGAGACAAAUUCACGAAGGGAUGGUUCUUCAGCAGGGACUCGGGAUUCUGACUGACUCUCUUUCCUGCCUCAUUCCACCUGAAGUUCCUUUUUCUCCAAAAUUCUUCUAUCAGAGUGAACAAUGUUGGUAAGUAGUCCCUUAGUCAUAGACCCGGGGAAGGGUUCCCCCUCUAUGGAGUAACUUAGGUUUUGUCCUUGCACCUUAGGGCAAUUAGAAAAUACAGUGAAUAGAAUACUGAAAAUCAAGCAGACCUGAAGUUAAAUCCCAUCUUAUACUUUUGCUGGCUGGGUAACCCUAGGCAAGUCACUUAAUCACUCUCUUCCUCAGUUUCCUCAUCUAUAAAAUAAGUAUAAUAAUAGCAUCAAUCUCCCAGGUUGUUGUGUGGACAAAAUGAGAUAAGACAAAACACUUUAGAAACCUUAAAGCUCUAUGUAAAUGCUAAUCAUCAUCAUCAUCAUUAUUAUUACCACAGAGCUUUUUUCUUCAUGACCCAUAAGGCAGAAAGAGUAUUCAUUCUAGAUUCAAAGAACCAUGGUCCAAAUCCUAUCCCUGAUGCUUACUUCCUGGGUGACUCCAGGCAAGUAAUUUAUCCUCUGGUCUUCAAUUUCUUCAUCUAUAAAAUGAGGGAAUUGUUCUUUAGGGUCUUUGAGCUCAUAUCCAGCUCUAUGAACCUAUGAUCCAUUAAGCUAAUCUGACUGCCCAACUCCAUGGCUCUGGGAUACAGAAGAUAUGAAAAGCUGGGAAGGACACAAAUUUUAGAUGCCCAACAAGGGACGGACCUCAAGCCAGAUCUAAGUUGUGAUCUCCUUUCUGUGUUUUGAGUGGUUAGUUCUUAGAACAUCAAGGAGCCUGACUGGUUGAAUCUUAACCAUAGUUGUGCCUCUAUCUCCGACUCAGGUUUUGCCAAAUAGUUGUAAUCUCAGCACUCUAUCCUUCUGGAAUAAGGAGAAGCUGGAGCCUAGGGUCUGAGUGAUCACUGGCAGUUCUUUUCACAGGUACAGAUUGUAAUUCCUUUCUGACUUGCUGCAGAUGAUCUUCACAAUAUUCUGGAGCCAACAGAAGUUAUCGAUCCUAUGAUAAGCUUCUUGGGACCCAAUCAAGUCCCUCCUCAGACAAUGGACUGGUACAAUCCAUCAUGGGACCCACACCUCAAAGCCUGCAAAGUUCUGAAUGAGCUGCCAGAGAUACUCCUCAACUGGCUAUGCCUUUGAGACUCUGAGGUCACUUCUGUACUUUGAAUAGGUUUCAGAGACGAGUCUGGUAGAGAAUCAUCCAUUUACUUAAGUGAAAACUGGAGUUAUUUUAGUCUACCUAAAGAGGUCUCAAUUUAAGUGAUCAUAUCUAAGUACUAAUAGUCUCCCAAGGGCAAUGUUCCCAGUUAUCAGUGUGGCUUACUGUUUGGUGCAGGAGAAGGGGGAGGGAAAACUAUUGGGAUAAUGGAGAAUAGCUCACAUCAUCUUACUUGGGAGUCUAGAAGUUGGGGAGACUGAGGAGAUGCAUGGUGAGUGAAACUAGAAUGUAGAUCCCAAAUCUUGGGCUUGACUAAUAGGAAUGUGGCAUAAUGGACAUGGCACUGGACAUGGAGUUGGAAAGACUGGGUUCAAAUACUUCCCUGGACACUUAUUAGCUGUGUGAUUGUGCACUCUUCACUUUAUCUCUCUGGACUUCAGUUUACUCGUCUAGAAAAUGACAGGAUUGGAGCCAUGAUCCCUGUUGUUCCUUCCAAUCUUAAAUCUAUAAUCUUAUGAAUUUGUGGAAAGAGAAAUAAAACAAUGAAAGCAAUUCCAAUGGGAUGGCCUUCUUUUCUUCUCAUUCUCAGGAAAUCAAAGGUUCUGCCCAAUUGGGGAAUUGAUAUUUUUUUUUAACUUUCCAUAGGAAAUCAAUAGCAAGAAAAUCAAUUGUAGGGCAGCUAGGGGGUGCAGAGGAUAGAGCACCAGCCCUGAAAUCAGGAAGAUCUGGGUUUAAAUUUGAUCUCACACAUUUAAUGCUUCCUAGCUAUGUGACCCUGGGCAAGUCACUUAACUUGCUUCAGCCCCCUAAAAAAUCAAUUGUGAUAUCAAUAGAGAAGGGGAUGGUAAAGGUUAAUCAUUUCAAGAAACAUUAACAGAGUCAUCCUGUAGGGGGCUUGAAGACAGGAGAAAUCUAGUUUGAAUGAAUGAUUUUUUAAAAAGUAUUUAUUAAACACUUAAUAUGUGCUAAGCGUUGUGCUAAAUACCAGGGAUAAAAGCAGAAAAGUCCUUUAGUCUUUGCUCUCAAGGAGCUCGCAUUCUUAUGUUUGAAUCCAAGACUUUCUAGCUAUGUGAUUGUAGGUGAGUCAUUUAAGCUCUUUAGACCCAAGUGUCAUGUUUUACUUCACUCAUACUUCAUUCCAGACACCUUUCCUUUCUUUCUCUAUUCAGAAAACCUCCUUCUUGAUAUCUACCUGUUUUCCAAUGCAUCUACAUGUGUUGUGUUCUUCCAUUACAAUGUAAGCACCUUGAGCGCAAGAAUAUCUUGUUUAUAUUUGUAUUCCUAUAUUUAGCUCACUGCUUUAUAUAUUUUAAGUGCUUACUAAAUGUUCUAUCUCCAUCUAUUUAAUAAUCUAUAUCUUUCUAUCUAAUAAUCUAUCAAUCUGUUUAAUAAUAUAUCACCAUCAACCUCUUUAUCUGUCUAAUUAUCCAUUAGUCUUUUCAACUAUCUCUCUAAUGAUCUAUGUCUAUCUAAAAAUCUACUGAUCUCGAACAAUCUAUAUGUGUCUAUCCAUCCAUCUACUAGCCAGCUAGCUAGCUGUCGGUCCUAUCUAUUUAGUAAUUAUCUAUGCCAGUCUAUCUGUCUAAUUAUUCAUCUGUUUGUCUACCUAAUAAUCAGAAAGUCUACUUAAAUAGCUAUCUAUCAAAAGAGAAUUAAUCAAUAAUUUAUCAAUAAUUCACUAUGUGUCAGGAACUAUACUAGACUCUGAGGUUGUAAAGAUAGACAUGAAAAAAGCCUUACCCUUAAGAAGCUUAGAUUCUGCCAGAAAACACAACAUAUACAUCUAUACAUAUCUAAAAUAAGUUCAUUCAAAAUAUACACAAAAUUAGUACAAAUAUAUUUUGAGAGGGAAGCACUAGCAGCUGGAUAGGAUCAGAAUGUACAGCAAUGGGGAACAGAAAGUGUGAUCCACGAGUGCCCCAAAGUACUGGUAUAUCCUAGGGCAAGAAUUGCCACUGACCUUUUCCCUUUCCCCUAUGGUGAUUGAAAACUUGGAAGUAGCCUGUCCAAUGAGAAUGUGAGUGAAUUGACUGUCUUGGAAUUGUGAGGGAGGGAGAUCCUUUGGGGGAAAGUUCAAUGGCAACGCUUAGGUAUCCUGGAAGAACCAGCUAACUCUCCAUUCAUGAUUACACUGUAGGUACAGACCUUGUUAUCUUAUUGUGAAAGGCACAUGAAAUAAUGUGUUCAGAUCUACAGAUCUACAGCUUACAGAGAUUUUAGGAACCAUCUAAUUCAAUUCUCUGUGUUUACAUAUGAGAAAACUGAGUUUAUAUAUGAGGUAAGGGCAACAACUUGCCUAUGGUAAAAGCAGUAAGCAGCAGGGCUAGCUUGAACUCAAAUUCUCUCACAGCACCUUCAAACACCAUGCAAAUGAAAUAAUAUUUGUGAAGCACUUAAUACAGCACUUGGUAUAUAGUAGGCAUUUAAUAAAUGUUUAUCUUCUUCCUUCUUCUUCCCACAUAAAUGUUAGUUAUUAAUAUGGCAGUUGAAGCUCUGUAGCUAUUUUUUUCUGCCAUAGCAAUUUAGGAUUCCUAAAUCCUGAUUUCCAGCCAGGAAAAAAAAAAGACCAAAAAAAAUUGGACCUUGGAAGGCACACUUGGGGGAAGGAUGAAGGCAAAGAUUGAUAAAAUGCAUAUGGAACUGCUCCAUGUCCUUGGUUAAGCAAUUUAGAGAAUGAAAUUCCCUUAGGGGAAUGGAAAACUUUCCAAUCAAGUUGACUACUGAUCCCAAGUCAAAUAAAUUGAAAAUCUUUUCAGAGAUUAACUUGCUUCUCCUCACAAGAAACUGACAAGGAAACUCCUUGGGGAAUCAGACAUAUUUAUCUUAUCUAUAAGCAAAACAGUUUCUAAAGGAUGGCCAGCAAGAUGACUGUGCCCAAUAGAUGUUCUAUAAGUGCCUAGGGAUGGAUUGGUGACGACAAUCAAAAGCCUUCCCUAUUUGAGUAGUCCUGAUCUAAUCCCCUAUCUCUAUCUGAUCGUCAGACAUUAUUUUCUCUCUCUGAUGGAUGGAUUGCUCUUAGCAUUUAGAAUUGUAAGGGGCCUGAGAGCUUCCUCAUUUUACAGAAGGGGAAAUGGUUUCAGAGAGGCUGUGUCUCACUCAAGGUUGUACAAGUAAGAAGAAGUAAAGCCAGUUUUCAAUACCAGGUCUUCCAAUGCAGAAAGUAGCAACUACAGAUUUUGGCCCUCUUUGUGUCCAGAUCAAACUCUGAGGUCAUUUUAGGUCAUACACUAUUAGCCCAAACAAGAUGAGCCUUCACCUUUCCCUAGUCCUUUUCUACUGCUCCUUUCUCUUCUGUCUCCAAUUCUUUUCCCUCUUCCUCUUGUGUCUUGGGAUCCCAUAAACUCUGAGAUUUCGUGACUCUGUUUCUGCUUGGAUGCCUAGAACCAAAGAAUAAUCAUUAAUGGUUCCAAGUCAUCUUGGAAGAAGACCUCUACAAGAAUACAUACUAUGGCUUUGGAAUACAAUAAUGAGUUGGUUAAAAACAGAGAUAUCAUGUUCAUCAAAUUUAUAGAUGACACAAAGCUGGAAGGAAUGUGUCAUAGACAGGAUAAGAAUCCCAAAAGAUCUCCACAGGCUAGAAGCAGGACCAAACAGAAUAAGAUGUAAUUGAAUAGAAUUAAAAUUAAAGGCUUGCCUUUAGAUUGAAAAGAAAAUGCCUUCCCAUUUGCAAAAUGGUGAAAGCAUGGCAAAAUAGUGAGUUAUCUGAAAAAAAUCUAGGAAUUCCUUGAUGUGGAUUUAUAGCGAGGUAUGGAAGCCCCCAGACUGAUGAGAUGUUAGGCUGUAUUUAGAGACAUAGUUUCAGAACUAGGGAUAUGACAGUAAAAUAGUAUUCUUUCCUAGCCACACUACCUUUGGAACAUUAUGCUUCAUUUUGAACACUAAAUUUUAGGGGCAGUAUUGAUCAAUUGGAGAAUGACAACCAGAGCAAUGAAGGCACCAAGUUUAUGACUUAAGAAGAUCAUUUGGAGGAAUAUUUAGCCUGGAGAAGACUCAUGGGUAGCAUGAUAACUGCCUUCCAAAAUGUGAGGAGUUGUCAUGUGAAAGAAGGAUUAGAUUUGUUCAGCUUGGCCCCUGAGGGAAGAACUAGGAACAAAGAGUAGAAGUUGCUAAAAGGCACAUUUAGACUUGAUGUCAGGAAAAUUUUCCAAGCCCCAAAAUAGAAUGGGUUGCUUUGGGAGGGAGGGAGUUUCAGCAUCGUUGAGUCCUUUAAGGAAAAGCUGGAUGGCCACAUGAGAAGGAUGCCCCAAUGGGGAUUCUUCUUCAGGUACCAGUAAGAUUUCAUAGCUUCUAAAGUGCUUUCCAACGCUGAGACUCAGUGAUUCUGAGGUUUGGUGGUUUUUGCAUUAAAUCAAAUACACUCUUCAUUUGGAAAGAAGUUGUUAAAUUGGACCAAUUGCCUUCACAAGUUGCUGGCAAGCCAGUUGGCUUUUGGCUCCCUGCCUUGGCUGGCUUGGGGUUCUUUCCUUCCAGCUAAAACAUCAGGGACAGCCUCACCCCUUGUACCUUCCAUUGCCCUCCACUAGGACUUCCUAGUAAGACUCUGAUACUGACCAGUUGAAUGACCUUAGCCAAGUCAUUUCUCCUUAUUAGAGUUUUGGCUUUUUUUAUAUGUAAAACAAGGCAUUGAAUUAGAAAAAAAAUUUGAUUGUCCAACAUAGGUCUGCCAGCCAGAUGCAGCACAGCCUGCCUGAUUUCAGGAUACAGUUUGAGAUUUUUAGUAAAAAUAUCAUUGCAUAUGUGUGGAUGGGGACCAUAGGUUAUUAAAUAGCCUGUCCAACUGUAACUUGUGUUAUAUAUAGAUGAUUUUUCUUAAGUGUAAUCCUGGAGAACUCACAAUUGUGUUUUUAAAAUACCACAUAAAUACAUACACAUAUGUUUUUUGAUUCACUAUUGAACAAUUUGUCUGUUGUCCAGUGAUGAUAUGUUCUAUGGCUCAGUUAUCCUCAAUAAACUCAAUUAUGAUCACAAAUGAUGAGGCCUCUUCUAGUCUAAUCUCUUCAUUUUAGAGAAGAAAUAGAAGCUCAGAAGGUUGGAGGACUUCCUCAAGGUCAGUUGGGGUUCAAACUCAAGUUAACUUCAACUCUAGUGCCACAUUAAACCAUUCUAAUAUUCACUCGAUCUAACUCUCAGAAUUGCUGUGAAAAAGCUUUUUGUUAAUUUUUCAGUGUUGUAGAAAUUCAUCAGUAAGCAUUUAUUAAAUGCUUAAUAAAUGUUAGGAAUUGUGCUAAAUGCUGAGGAUACAAAGAAAAAUCAAAUUUCAAAGUUUGUUGAGCAUGUGGACUUGGCCAGGAGUAAGGUUCAUGGUCCUAGUGAAUGUCAGGGCAAGGGAAAAGGAAUUAGACUAGGUUUGCCCCACAGUCUAGUUUGGGAAUCAGUAAAAAUGUAGUAGAGACAUGCGAAAUAUCUAAUGCAAUAAUCUAUGGAAUGUCUUAAGAACAGGGACUUUUUUUUUGCUUCAGUUUGUAUUCUCAGCUCUUAGCACAAUACUGGUGCAUAGUAGGUACUCAAUAAAUAAUUGCUGACUUGCUGAUGGUCUGGAAAUUGAUAUCCUCAUCUUGUCUUUAUUCCACAGAUGUAGCCUAUUUAUCCUAGUCUAUAUUUACCCAAAAACACAUUGAACAUGCAACCUGCAAAGUUUUCCUUGCCCAUGCAUACAAAGGUAGCAUAAGAUAGAGAGGUAAUACUAAUAAUAUUUAGUAUUUACAUAGUACUUCAGGUUUGCAAAGCAUCUUACAAAGUUGUGAUCCUCCCAAUAACUCUGUGAAACAGAUGUUAUUAUUGUGAGGUGACUGAAUUUGCAGACAGCUAUAUUUAGACUUGCUGUCAAUCAAAGACUUCUUAACAAGGAGAGCUAUUUCCAAAUAGAAAGGGCUACAUUGUGGAUUAACCUUCAUUAGAGCUCUUAAAAUAAGUUGGAUGAUCCUAUUCUGGGUGUGUUAUGCCAGGCAUUCUUUUUCCAAUGUGAGUUGGGUAAGUUGGUUGCUAAAGUCCCUCAACUUGGAGAUUUUGUGAGUUGAACUUGGAUAGGUCACUCUAUCUCUUGGACAAAGUUGAUGACGUUGCAAAUUGAGAGACCCUUUUCUGCUAUUGUCUUCAAAAAAAAAUCAAAUUUAUGAUUUAUUCAUAAAAUUUAUAAAACACUUUACUCACAAUAGUCUCCAAAGGAAUAUGUGCUCAGAAUUACUAUUCUUAUUUUUACAAAUGAGGAAUCUGAGAGUUAGAAAGGUGAAGUGAGAUAGCACAGUGAAAAAUAGAGAAAUUAGGACUCAAUCCUAGAUAUUCCUGACUUUGACUCCAUUGUUUUUUCACUAUAUCAGUCUUCCUAGAUCAAAAUGCUCUUCUCUAGUCAAAACUCCCCCAUGUAUGUUUUCUCUCCUUAUUGGACUGUAAGUUCCUUGAAGGAAUGGGUUAUUUUCUUUUUUACCAGGAACAUAGUAAGUACUAAACAACUGCUUUUCAUUGAUUUACUAUUUAAUUAUUCAUAAUUCAUUCAUAUCACACUGUGCACCAUCAAAUGAAGGAAAACGUCUCUCACAUUUCUUUCUGGACACCAACUUCCUCCAGGGAAGGUUUCUGACAGAGAAGAAACUAACAAGAAAAAUCAGCAGAGGAUAGUAUUUCUUUUCUGCCUUUUUAGGUCUAAAAUUUGGCCCAUUUAGAGUCCUAAGGUUGUGAUACCUUCCUUACUGAUUCCAAAGUGGUGUAGCCCUAUGAAUUUGGUAGCCCUACCUCCUCUAUGAAGUCUUCCUUCACUAAGAAGUUACCAAGGAUCUCUCCUUUCUCUGACCUUAGUUAACAGUUACCACGUGAACCACAUGAAAUUGUAAGCCUCUGUGUAAUGCUUUCUCUGUAUUAACCUCACCUGCCCAGCUAUGGUGUGGGUGCCUUGAGGGUAGCUUUAAGGGAUUAUGAUGACUCUUUAAGAGACUGUAGUGAAGCCCAAAGAGAUUGUAAUUUGCCCAGAGUCCCCACAGCUAGUGAUUGUUUGAAGAAGGAUUCACAAACCUAGGUGAAUCUGAUUCCAAGGUUUUGGAUUCCAAAACUUAGGUUUUCUGAUUCCAAAUCUUCUUUUUCUACUUUGAUUUUCUUCCAUUUAUUCCAUUUAUAUAAAUGCAAGUUUUCUUCACGUUUUUAAUUUCUUUAAAUACAUAUGCCAAUGGGACCUCUGGGUUAAGGGAUAUAUAUUUUAAUAGUUUUUAGGCAUUCCAAAUUAUUUUCUAGAAUUACUGGACCAAUUCACAGUUCCACUAAUAGGGUAAUAAUAUGCUUGUCUUCCUAUAGCCCCCUAACAUUAUUUUCAUCUUUUGACAUCUUUGCUAAUUUUCAAGGUAUCGGGGAACUCUACGACUAAUAUAUAGUUUUCUUAUCAUUAAUUAUAUGGAGCAAUCUUUACUAUGAUUUUUAAUAGUUUGUAAUUCUUUUGAGGAUUUUUAAAAAUCUUUUAGCCAACUAUUCAUUAGAGGAAUGGCUCUUGGUCUUAUAUAUUUGUCUUAAUUUUGGAAAUGUAUUUUUAACAGAAUUUUAUCACAAGCAUUCCAUGGAUUUUGCAGAUACCACUACUGGGAACUAGUUUGUCACUAUUCCAAUGCCAUUGACACUUCCUCCAUGGUCUCCUCCGUUCUUGCCUCCAGCCCAGCUAUCCAUGCCCAACUUAAAUUCAUAAUGUAUUCUGAUCUUACCAUUGAUAAGGAGUCUCUAGGCAGAGCUACUUUCCAGUUAUUUGCUGACUAAGGUCCAAAGACAGCAGGAAACUUCUGUUCUCUGAGCACUGAAUAGAAGGUAUUUGGUUGCAAGAGGUGUUGCUUUUAUAGAAUCAUUAGUGGUUUGUGUACUUACUAUCAUGGUGAUCUCAUAUACCAUAAUGGUACUAAGGGCUAAUCUAUCUAUAGGGACAAAUUUGUGGAUGAGGGCUUCAUUCUAAAGUUCACUAGCACUCAUGUUUUAUCUACGACACAGACUGUUAUCAGCUAUAUGUGUGUGUGUAUUUGUAUAUACACAUAUGUGUAUACAUACACAUAUAUGUAUACACUCACGUGCGUUUGUGUGACUAGGUGGCUAGUUCAAAAGAGAUGUGAACUUUGGAGAAACCAUGGAAUAUUUUGAUUGCAGAAUGACAAGAUCAGGAAAAAGAAGAUCACCGUUCUUGUCUGUGGUUAAUUAUCAUUAAGUUUUGUUUCUCAAAGUGUGGGUCUUAACCACCAAAUCAUUCCCCUGUAGCUAGGGAGAGAAUUCUCCCAACACUCCAGUUUGAUCUCAAACCCUAUAAUCCUUGUGCUCUCAUUUAAUGCAAUCUCUUUGGACUUCAUUUCCCCUUUUUUUCCACAUGUCAGGCUAGAAGUUAGAGUUAAGAUUAGCAUUAUGAAAUUAACAAAAAUAAAAGAUAAUCAAUGAACAAAUUCCUUAAUCAACAGUUCUCCUUUUUACUCUAGUUGCAUUGAUUUUUUUUUCAUGCAAAAGCUCUUCAAUUUCAUAUAAUAUGGAUGAUCUAUUUUAUCUUUGGAUUUCUCUUCUUUCCUUUGUUUCACAGAAAUUUCCUCCAGACAGACAUGGCUAUGAAAGAUGGUACUGUCCAUUUUCUUCCAUUUUUAAUGAUGUGAAUGUUUAUAUUUAGAUCAUUUGGUCUUUUGGGAUUCAGAGGAGGUGAGGGUGCAAUUGUUGCAGCAUUUUGGAGAUUUUUUGGACCACAUCCAAAAAGAUCCCCAUCCUAAGGGGGAUAAACCAGAGAAUAUGUGACUCUAAAGAAGGGUCUUGAGAGUAAGGAACUCUACCUGUUUGUUUCCUUAAUAUUUUUCACUGGGUAACCUUUCAAACAAUGACCUGAAUUCUUACAGUUUCUUAGGAGAAGCUCUCCAUGCUUAAUAAAGAGAGAAGAUGGGGCUACUUUCUCACUCUUUCACAAAGCCAAUGGUUUCUUCCUAUUAGAAAUAUAGAGCCAAGUGCCUAGGUUUUCCUGUCAUUAGACACUUUGGGUCCUUCUCACCUUGAAGGAUGAGGAAGGGAAGCCCUUAGCAGCCGAGCGCCAGUUAUCAUGAUGUUAUACAAGCCCAGCAUGUUGCCAAUGUUUUUAUAUAAUCCUCUAGUUCUCCCCAUAAAACAGCCCAUAACACCCUGGCAAAUAGAUUUCAAUGGAGCCGCAUGCUCUUACAGGCAUACACUGUUCUGCGGUGAUGAGUCACAUUGAUGAAAUAGCCAAGAUUAAGCUCCAACUCAACUUUUCCGUUUCUACUAUCCUCUUCCUCCCCCACCUUAGAGGAAUAGAAAAGGACAGAAGAAACACAAGCCUCAUUACGAAAUCACUUCAGAAGGAAAAUCAGGAGUUGUGUAUAUGAUGAGAAAGAGCUUAUGAAAUAAGGAUGAUGCCCUAUGCUCUCUCAAAGAGAAUUUUGGAAGACCACAUAAAGAUUUAAACAGCCCAGCAUGCAGACUGAUCCUCCGCUAACCAAUCGAUGGAAGAAAGUUCAAUGUCAUUUUAAAGCUGAGUUUAUAAUGGAUGUUUCAAGGGCCCUGAAGCUUAAAGUCACCAGUGCCAAAGUAGCCUCAUCUGGAGGCCUGCCUGCAGAUAUCGUCCUUCCCUGCUAUGAAGAGUCCAUGGGAACCAUCUCAA
rnacentral:lncRNA from 1 species